rnacentral:misc_RNA from 1 species
AACGCAAAUUGCACUUCCUACUAUUCCGGGAAGUAUGCUUGCUUGAGGGUUAGUUUAUAAAAAUCGUGAAAAGGAAUUUUUACGGAUCUGGAUUUUCCAAAGUUUUUUGGUAAUCUAAAAUUUAUUUUAACAAUAUUUUUUUAAUUCAUUAACAAUUAUUACCAACUUGUUACGUUGUGUUAUUUUCCUAGUUUCUCAAUUGGGUAAAAUAAUACAAUUCUUUUUUGAAAUCUGACCUCAAGUCAAGUAAGAAUACUCGCUGAACUUAA